CCUGCACCCGUACCUACUCCUCGGGUGGGAGCAGCUCGUGUCUGGCAAAUGCCUGCACCCGUUUCUAUGUCCACUGUAAACUCAAGCGAGUCUGUCCAGCCAUAUUCUUCAUGUUCAGAAGCCUCAGAAGACUUAGUUCAGCCAUUGUCACAACCACCAUCACUACUGCAUACAUUUCAGUCUAUAGCUCAAUCAUUAGCUCUGUUGGCAGCCCAGUCCAUAGUUCAAUUUCCUGUGUUACCGUUAGCUCAGCCCUUAGCCCACUGUGUAGCUCAGCCAGCUCCCCAGUGUUUAGCUCAGUCACCUACACCACCCGCUACUCUCUCACCACAACCAUCAUUACAGCCACUAGGUCAGUCUCCAGUGCAGCCAUCAUUACAGCCACUAGGUCUGUCUCCAGUGCAGCCAUCAUUACAGCCACUAGGUCAGUCUCCAGUGCAGCCAUCAUUACAGCCACUAGCUCAGUCUCCUGUGUCCCCGCUAGCUCAGUCAUCUACCCAACCACCCACUCCACUCUCACCACAACCGUUACUACAGCCACUAGUUCAGUGUCCAGUGUCACCUGCAGUGCAGUCCCCAGCUCAACUGCCUUUUGUUCACUCUCCUGCCCAGGUGCCACUAGCUCAGUCUCCUAAACCUCCAGUUCAGUCUUCCGUUCAGUCCGCUGUGCCAGUUCAGUCCCUUCGUCUGCUGCACACUCACCCACCUGGUCGUUUACACAUUCAGCCAGGGGUCCCAAUUACCUCUGGCCCUACAUCAGCUCCUGCUGGAGGCUCGGGUGAGCACAUCCAGCACUCUGCGGCUCCCACGCCGCCAUCCGUCUCCGCUGGAGGGUCCGAGGGGCCCGUUCAGCAUCCUGUCUCCGCUGGAGGGUCCGAGGGGCCCGUUCAGCAAUCUGUCUCCGCUGGAGGGUCCG
ensembl:lncRNA